rnacentral:misc_RNA from 1 species
AAGAAUCAUUUGACCUUGGGAACGAUGCAACCGCCUUUCCUCAAAUUCUGAACCAUCAACGUCAUUUCAGUCCCUCGCCCUCAACUGAUUGUUCUGUUACUGCUACAUCUGAUCCAAUCUUUCUCAGUACUGCUGUUGACUCGAAGAUGCAUACUCAUUCUCCUAAGAAAUGUAUGUUUAAGGGAUGCUCUAAAGGUGCGAGGGGAGCAUCUGGAUUCUGUAUUGCUCAUGGAGGUGGGCAGAGGUGCCGUAAACCUGGUUGCAACAAGGGCGCUGAAAGCCGGACCGCAUAUUGCAAAGCUCAUGGAGGAGGGAGGCGGUGCCAACAACUUGGU